rnacentral:rRNA from 1 species
UACGUAGGGGGCAAGCGUUGUCCGGAUUUAUUGGGCGUAAAGAGCGUGUAGGCGGCCAUGCAGGUCCGUUGUGAAAACUGGAGGCUUAACCUCCAGACGUCGAUGGAAACCGUAUGGCUAGAGUCCGGAAGAGGAGAGUGGAAUUCCUGGUGUAGCGGUGAAAUGCGCAGAUAUCAGGAAGAACACCCGUGGCGAAGGCGGCUCUCUGGAACGCAACUGACGCUGAGACGCGAAAGCGUGGGGAGCAAACAGG